UAAAUAAUUAUUAUUAGUGUUUCACAGGGCAUUUAAAGUGUUCAUUGUGGGAUUAUUUGAUGCGGCCAAUGAGAAUAUUCUCUUAAUAGAUGGAUUAUAUAUUUGUCGUGACUUUGUUGGGGCUGUUAGUAAAUUUUCAGACAAGAAUGCAUUUUCAAGAAUAACUCGCCCAAGUCCGCACGGCUUUAUGAUUAUGUACGCGGAAUACGCUGAAUUAUGUGCGAAAAAAUUGUGGGAAACACGCAAUGUCGCGGCGGGCAUGCUGCCUUAUAGUAAAGUACAAUCGGCAUUAUUUCAAGAAUUUUAAAGCGGUAACAAGGAUUCUGAAUGGUCUGCAGGAGAUCAAAGCCGGCCUGUCAUGAUGCCGUGGAAACAAACUAGUUUAUAGAGAAGCCUAAUUUGCAUGCAAGGCACAGACUUCUAGUCUAUUGCCGUGCAUGACUUUCAGUUGGCGGAGCUCCUAUGAUGCGCAGAAAUCGAAUUUUACCAGCUAUAACUGAAUUAAUGCUCUGGUGCUGUACAACAUUAGUAGAACUCAAUAACUGCCUCAGCUCAGGUUGAGAUUAAAUAUUUUUUAAAAAUUCCAUAUUAACACAGAGACGUUAAUCUUUACGCGAUGUAAACUAAUUAUCAUUUUCGAAGAUAUAUGUAUAUAACUAGUAAAAUUAAAAACCGCAUUCUUCAGAUCCCAUCAUAAGCUCGAUCCAGGUAUUUUCUUUGAUUUAGAAUCGAAUCUUACAUAUCUUCUUACUGAAAAAAAUCGAUUUUUUUAUUACAAUGUUAAAAAACUCGACGACAGUCGAAUACAGUUCCUAUGUCUUAUAUUAUGUAUUUGUUUAUUUCUUUAUAACCACCAUAGCAGGCAGGUUGCCGCAUGCAGAGGCGAGCUUUAUGGAUUCUUUAAAGUAUAUACACUUUCGACAGGUAUCAAAUUCCGAGUCGAUUUAAAUACAUCUCUUUGCCCGUCUAUCUUCUUGAGAACCAUCAAAUUCUGAAUCGAUGUUAGCAUGUCUGUCCACCUGUCUGUCCGCCUGUCAGUUUGUUUAGAGAUUAAUCUAUUGUUUCUUCU